rnacentral:rRNA from 1 species
ACGGGUGCGUAACGCGUGGGAAUCUGCCCUUGGGUUCGGAAUAACAGUUAGAAAUGACUGCUAAUACCGGAUGAUGUCUUCGGACCAAAGAUUUAUCGCCCAAGGAUGAGCCCGCGUAAGAUUAGCUAGUUGGUGGGGUAAUGGCCCACCAAGGCGACGAUCUUUAGCUGGUCUGAGAGGAUGAUCAGCCACACUGGGACUGAGACACGGCCCAGACUCCUACGGGAGGCAGCAGUGGGGAAUAUUGGACAAUGGGCGAAAGCCUGAUCCAGCAAUGCCGCGUGAGUGAUGAAGGCCUUAGGGUUGUAAAGCUCUUUUACCAGGGAUGAUAAUGACAGUACCUGGAGAAUAAGCUCCGGCUAACUCCGUGCCAGCAGCCGCGGUAAUACGGAGGGAGCUAGCGUUGUUCGGAAUUACUGGGCGUAAAGCGUACGUAGGCGGUUACUCAAGUCAGAGGUGAAAGCCCGGGGCUCAACCCCGGAACUGCCUUUGAAACUAGGUAGCUAGAGUCUUGGAGAGGUUAGUGGAAUUCCGAGUGUAGAGGUGUAAUUCGUAGA